CUCCAGACUCCUACGGGAGGCAGCAGUGGGGGAUAUUGCACAAUGGGGGGAACCCUGAUGCAGCGACGCCGCGUGGGUGAAGGAGCGUUUCGGCGCGUAAAGCCCUAUCGGCAGGGAAGAAGGAGGACGGUACCUGACUAAGAAGCCCCGGCUAACUACGUGCCAGCAGCCGCGGGAAUACGUAGGUGGCAAGCGUUGUCCGGAUUUACUGGGUGUAAAGGGCGUGCAGCCGGAGAGACAAGUCAGAUGUGAAAUCCGCAGGCUCAACCUGCGAACUGCAUUUGAAACUGUUUCCCUUGAGUAUCGGAGAGGUCAUCGGAAUUCCUAGUGUAGCGGUGAAAUGCGUAGAUAUUAGGAAGAACACCAGUGGCGAAGGCGGAUGACUGGACGACAACUGACGGUGAGGCGCGAAAGCGUGGGGAGCAAACAGGAUUAGAUACCCUAGUA
rnacentral:rRNA from 1 species